rnacentral:rRNA from 1 species
GACGAACGCUGGCGGCGUGCUUAACACAUGCAAGUCGAACGGUAAGGCCCUUCGGGGUACACGAGUGGCGAACGGGUGAGUAACACGUGGGUGAUCUGCCCUGCACUUCGGGAUAAGCCUGGGAAACUGGGUCUAAUACCGGAUAGGACCACUGCCUGCAUGGGUGGUGGUGGAAAGCUUUUGCGGUGUGGGAUGGGCCCGCGGCCUAUCAGCUUGUUGGUGGGGUGAUGGCCUACCAAGGCGACGACGGGUAGCCGGCCUGGGAGGGUGACCGGCCACACGGGGACUGAGAGAGGGACCAGACUCCUACGGGGGGCAGCAGUGGGGAAUAUUGCACAAUGGGCGCAAGCCUGAAGCAGCGACGCCGCGUGAGGGAUGACGGCCUUCGGGUUGUAGACCUCUUUCAGCACCGACGAAGCGCAAGUGACGGUAGGUGCAGAAGAAGGACCGGCCAACUACGUGCCAGCAGCCGCCGUAA